rfam:Gorilla gorilla gorilla genomic chromosome, chr14, whole genome shotgun sequence
GCUGGGUGUGGUGGCGCACACCUGUAAUCCCAGCUACUUGGGAGGCUGAGGCAGGAGAAUUGCUUGAACCUGGGACGGGGAGGUUGCAGUGAUCUGAGAUCGUGCCAUUGCACUCCAGCCUGGGCAACAGAGUGAGACUCUGUCUCAC